AUUGAACGCUGGCGGCAUGCCUUACACAUGCAAGUCGAACGGCAGCACGGGAGCAGUCCUGGUGGCGAGUGGCGAACGGGUGAGUAAGGUAUCGGAACGUGCCCAGUCGUGGGGGAUAACGUAGCGAAAGUUACGCUAAUACCGCAUACGAUCUAUGGAUGAAAGCGGGGGAUCGCAAGAACUCGCGCGAUUGGAGCGGACGAUAUCAGAUUAGGUAAUUGGUGGGGUAAAGGCUCACCAAGCCGACGAUCUGUAGCUGGUCUGAGAGGACGACCAGCCACACUGGGACUGAGACACGGCCCAGACUCCUACGGGAGGCAGCAGUGGGGAAUUUUGGACAAUGGGCGCAAGCCUGAUCCAGCCAUGCCGCGUGCAGGAUGAAGGCCUUCGGGUUGUAAACUGCUUUUGUACGGAACGAAAAGGUUUGGCCUAAUACGCUGAACUCAUGACGGUACCGUAAGAAUAAGCACCGGCUAACUACGUGCCAGCCGCCGCAGUAA
rnacentral:rRNA from 1 species